GACGAACGUUGGCGGCGUGCUUAAUACAUGCCAGUCAACUGAAGCAGUGGUAGCAAUAUCGCUGUGGAGGUGGCGCACGGGUGAGUAACACGUAGGUAAUCUGCCUUCAGGUCUGGCAUAACUCCGGGAAACCGGGGCUAAUAGCAGAUGAUGCAGCGGCUCGACAUCGAGACAGUUGUUAAAGCUAUGGCGCCUGAAGAUGAGCCUGCGCCUGCUUAGCUAGUUGGCGGGGUAACGGCCCACCAAGGCAACGAUCAGUAGCUGGUCUGAGAGGAUGAUCAGCCACACUGGAACGGAGACACGGUCCAGACUCCUACGGGAGGCAGCAGUAAGGAAUAUUGCUCAAUGGGAGAAAUCCUGAAGCAGCAACGCCGCGUGAGGGACGAAGGGCUUUUGCUUGUAAACCUCUGUAGUGAGAGAAAAAAAUCCCAAUCUUUGGGACAUGAUGGUAUCUCAAAAGUAAGCCCCGGCUAACUACGUG
rnacentral:rRNA from 1 species